UACAGAGGGAGCUAGCGUUGUUCGGAAUUACUGGGCGUAAAGCGCACGUAGGCGGCUUUGUAAGUUAGAGGUGAAAGCCCGGGGCUCAACCCCGGAAUUGCCUUUAAGACUGCAUCGCUUGAAUCCGGGAGAGGUGAGUGGAAUUCCGAGUGUAGAGGUGAAAUUCGUAGAUAUUCGGAAGAACACCAGUGGCGAAGGCGGCUCACUGGACCGGUAUUGACGCUGGAGGUGCGAAAGCGUGGGGAGCAAACAGG
rnacentral:rRNA from 1 species